GAUGAACGCUGGCGGCGUGCUUAAUGCAUGCAAGUCGAACGAGAACCUCUUGGUAGGUAACUAUCGAGGGACUUCUAGUGGCGAACGGGUGAGUAACACGUGAGCAACCUGCCCCAAAGACCGGGAUAGCCCAUGGAAACGUGGAUUAAUACCGGAUACCCUCGCGGAACCGCAUGACUCUGCGAGGAAAUGCUCCGGCGCUUUGGGAUGGGCUCGCGGCCUAUCAGCUUGUUGGUGAGGUAAUGGCUCACCAAGGCACUGACGGGUAGCUGGUCUGAGAGGACGAUCAGCCACACUGGGACUGAGACACGGCCCAGACUCCUACGGGAGGCAGCAGCAGGGAAUAUUGCACAAUGGGCGAAAGCCUGAUGCAGCGACGCCGCGUGAGGGAUGAAGGCCUUCGGGUUGUAAACCUCUUUCAGUGGGGAAGAAGCGAAAGUGACGGUACCCACACAAGAAGGCCCGGCCAACUACGUG
rnacentral:rRNA from 1 species